GGAGUCUUGGCAGGUCCCCACACAUCUGAAUGCACAUAAUCCAGAAUACCCUUGAUAUUGUGAAUUGCAAUGCCAAACUUCACUCUUCGUUGUUUUCCCAGAACACAAUGCUCACAAAAUUCAAGUUUGCAAGCCUUCGUACCUUUCAACAAUCCCUGCUUGGUAAGAAUUUGCAAGGAUUUCUCUCCAGCAUGUCCCAACCUCAUAUGCCACAACUUCGUUGCCUCGUCAUCCUUCUUAGUGCCAGAAGUUGAUGCCGCUACUAUCCUCACCAUUGUACUACCUUGAUAGUAAUAUAGAUUGUUCUUCCUCACGCCUUUCAACAUCACCAGUGCUCCUGAAGUUGCUUUAAGAAUUCCAUCUCACAUCGUCCCAACUAGGCCUUUAGAUUCUAAAGCCGCCAAUGAGAUGAGAUUUUUCUUCAACUUUGGCACGUUCCGUACAUCCCGCAAAAUUCUGAUGGAUCCAUCAUGAUUCCGCAGCUUGAUUGAACUUAUCUCUGUUGUCUUACAUGGAUUAUCAUUACCAAAGUAAACAACCCCGCCGUCGAGUUCUUGAAAUUCAAAGAACCAAUCCCGAAUGGGACACGUAUGAUAGGUACAGCCUGAAUCCAAUAUUCACUCAUCUGGAUACGAUGAUGUUGAAAGCGAGACAAUUAAAGAGAUAUCAGAUUCCACAUCACUUUUGCAUUCUGCAACAUUUGCAUCUUGCGGAGCCUUCCCUUUCUUCUGCAGUUUUGGACAGUCUUUCUUCCAGUGUCCUUUCUCAUGACAGAAAACACACUCAUCUUUGGCAACGGCUCGACCUUUAGACUUAGUCCUCCAUCUUCUCCCCUUUGUCUGGCUUUGCUGAUGACCUCUUGCCACCAAUGCUUCUUCUGAUGUCAUUGAUUUGGCUUUCAUCUUUUCCUGCUUUUUCAAUUCAUGACUAUAUAAAGCAGAACAAACAGCAUCUAACGACACAUUCUCCUUCCCGUGAAGGAGUAUAGUCUCCAAAUGUUCAAAUUCACCAAGAAGAGAUGAUAAGAACACCAAAGCCAAUUCCUCUUGCUCAAACUUCACAUCUAAAUUUAACAAGUUUGCUACUAAUUGAUCAAACAUAGUGAUGUGUGCAUUCAUAGUAGUACCUUGUUGGUAGUCAAAUCAGAACAAUCUUUUCUUCAUCAGGAGCUUGUUCUAACCACUCUUCUUCAUAAACUUGUCCUCCAAUGCCUUCCACAGUUUGUGUGCAAAAGUCUCGUUUUUUACAGCAUACUUCUACUCUCUGGACAGGUAGGAUCGAAUAGUUCCGCAUGACAACCAGUUGAUGAUGCUCUAGUCUUUCUCCUCUACUCUUUUGGUUUAUCUCCUUCAAUAGCAAUAUCAAUACCCUACUGAAAAAGAGAGUCCAAGACCUGUCCUUGCCACAUGCCAAAAUGUCUAAUGCCAUCAAAUAUUUCCACUGCCAAUUUCAAAGUGGACACCGGGAACCUCGACCAUGAUGACGAGGAGCCCGACACUCUGGAUACAUUCUUCGCUUCUUCUUCUUGAUUUGUCAUUACAAACUCAAAAUAUAGUAUUCAAUAUUACAAACAAUUUCAAACAAUCCAAUGGUGAACCUUCGACUCUUGAUACCACUUGUUGGGAAAAACGGAUAAUUUCCCCACUAAAACAGAACACUAACAGAGCUACCCGACAAAUAAUAUUAAAUAAACAGAGCGAAAUAAUAAAAGAGAUAAAGAGAAAAGGCACACCAAAAAAUUGUUAACGGAGUUCAGCCAAUUUAGCCUAAUCACGAGUCCAGCUAAAACAGCUCACUUUUAUUAUUAUGGGAGAAGAUAUUACAAAUUGGGAUAUAUUACAGUGAAGGAGGAGAGGUUAAUUUAUAACCUUCAAACCUCCUUCCCAAACAAUGAACCCAGCGAUGUGAGACUCGGGAUUAAGCCAAAAUCAACAAUUAACAAAUUCACCUCCAAAACUCCAUUAUCUUUCUUGCAAACAAUUCCUAUCCAAACAUAACAAAUAUGAAAAAAAAGAACGGAAAGGUUUUGGAUAACUAAUAAAAAGAAUUCCAAUUAUCUACCGCCAUGGCAUAACGUUGGACUUUCCAAGCAUCGCUGCAUAAAUAUUUCGAAAACACUCAACUCAAUAAACAAUGAAGGAAACAAGAAAAAAAUCUAUCACUGGUUGUUUAGACAUGUUAGCCGUCCCACUAUAUUCCAUCACUGGCUGAGUUAACAAUCUGAAAGAUAAAUCACAAAUAAAGACUCAACGUGUUGCAAACAAAUAAGUGCAAAUUUCAAAACUGGACGAACGAGAUUUUUAGAAACAUAAGUGAAGCAUUUAAAAUAAUUUCAGGAUCAUUAUUAAAAAUUUCCACGUAAGAGACAUUGUUGUCACUGACGAUAGGCUCAGACAUUGUUGUCACUCACAGUAAGAGACAUUGUUGUCACUCAUAGCACGCUCACAGGAGAUUACAUGCAACAAUUCCAAACAAGUUCACAACUCAACACAUCCUACACCACACUUCAUUGCUUGGCUUCCCUAUAAGACCAAUGAAUUCAAGAAAACUAUAAUCAAUCUCAGUAGAUACACACAAUAACCGACACAGGUACCUUCUAACUAUCCAACCAAUAAGAGAGACUGUAGACAUUCCAAAUCGAGCACAUACGAAAAAUAGUGAAUGGAAACGUAGUAAAACCUAAAGCUUCACAAUAAGUCCAACAAUCUAACACAGUUGCCUCCACAACCCAAAAGACAUCCAUAGUAAGUCACUGCAACUCAAGUAGAAAAAGAUAUCGAAUCAUCAAAGUCGAAGGCCCAACAACACAAAUGCUAAAGCCUCUCUCAUAUUGAUAUAGUGCCUGUUUUCAAGAACUCCCACUCCACAAUUUUAGCCAAAAAUAUAAUCACAAAGAAAAUCAUGAAUGCAGAAAUAAUAAAACCUAAGGUUUUACCGGACCUCCAUCCACUGUUUUCGAAACCUGCCCCAUAUAUCUAUUGUCUUCCCGUGAAAUCUCAACAAGAAGCAUAGGAACUUGAGAAAACUAAACUUUCUUAAAAGCAUGACAUAACAAAAUGAUCAAGUGAUUCAGAAAUAUAAUUAGCAAUAAGAUAGUGUUUCCUUCGACAUCCUACCCAAAUCCUAAAACCUGUUGGAGUAGGGGAGGUGUCACUCAUAGCUCAUAGCCUUGAGGGAUUGGGGGAGACGUGGCUCAGGAAAAUUACAAGAAAACAUUCCAAAUACUGUUGUUUCUCUCAUUCGUGUGGGAGAUAUUGGAAAGCUUCUCUCAUUCUCAUAUAGGAGAUAGAACUAAGUAGAGCUCUAAUAUUGGAAAAAAUUGUUGCUUCUCAUUCUCAUAUUGGAGAUAGAACUAAAUAUAGCACUCAUAUUGGAGAUCAUUCUCAUAUUGAAAGAUAAUUGAGAUAAUCUGAUCAAGGAUGAGGCUAGGUGAUAUUCCGAAUGUAACUCAAAACUGCUCAAAAUAAAACAAUACAAAAUGAAGUUUUGAAAUCAAAUUGUCCAAUGCUCUUUAUAAUUAGUAAAAUGAAGUAAUAACUAAGAAAAUAGGAAAUAAAAGAAAACUAUAUAUAAUUACAACCAAAACAAUAUAGCCCUAUAUAUUUAGUGAGAUGUAUUUAUUAAACAACUACACCAAAAAAGACUUUCUAGAAGAGAGUGCGAGUAAGUUUUGUAAAUUUCUAAAAUCAAAUUCUUAUAAAUUCUUAUGAAAGUGAACCAUUAACCCCUUUUCUUUUUACCAUAAAGAUUUAGAAAUACAGUGGUUCAAAUUAGAAAACCUAGAAAAAAAUUGAAGAGAAUGUAAGAACAAAAAACAUAUAUAUUUGACCCUUAUAAACCAAUUGGAUAUUUAGCCAAUUGAAAUAUGUAGAGAAUUUCGCUUCAAUCAGCAUACACAUUGUGAUACAGAUCAACCCAGGAACCUUUCUUAAGAAUUACAAUAAAGAGCAUGUGUAGCCAACAUAGGGUUUUAAGAUUUUUCCUACAAAGAGUGUAUACAAAGCAAUUUAUUAAUGAUUACUUAAAAUUUUUUAUAAAAUAGAUUCACAAUCGAAAAAUCAUUCAGAUCAUCAACAUUAUAAUGAAAGCAAAUAUUUAGUUAGCAAUCAUUAUAAAAAUACAUUAUAAAACAUUAUAAAAAUAAACAAAUUAUUGAAAGCAAAAUACAAUUUUUUUGUAAGUAACUACUAUAAAGUUAAAAAAACAAAUGUUAGAGAAUCAUUAGCCAACAAAGGACUUCUAGAUUACUUUUUCAACAAGAAUAACUAUUAAAGGAAAUAUAACAACCAUGAAUAAUGUUAUAAAAACCACUGCAAUUCUGCUAUAAUCAAAUGAUCAUAUUAAUAAAGCAAUUAUGUAAUUCAAUGUAAAAAUAAAAGUAUUAUAUAUAUAUAUAUAUUCCUAGAAAAUAUCUCACAAACACAUCAUAUAUUUCAAACUUCAAUAAUCAAACGAGAACUAUAUUCAAAUUUAUGUUUUUUAAUCCUCAUCGAAAUCAUGCUGAAAAGGAACCAACACAAGCACAUUAACUGUGACAUAUGAUAGAUCUCUGACAUAAAAUAAAUAGCCAUAAUCAAACUCAAGUAGACAUCUGUCAUCAAAGAGCAAAUCACGAAAUAAAGACAAAAAAAUAUAGGGAUAACAAAACCUAACGCAUCAAGAAUCUCCAUCCAGUAUUUAGAUAUCCUACCUCACAUCCGUUGUACACUUUGAAGAUUUAUCCUCAACCAAUCUUACAUGCAAAAAAGGUAUGAACACAGAGAAAUCAACACCUAGACAUAAAAAAUUUAAGAACAAUAUUUAAAUUCAAAUAGAUAUCAGUAAUAAAAACCAAGAAUUUAAGAAAGGAUAAGAUAAAUUAAUGAAUUCAAAAACCAAUGGAGCCUUAGUUGCUCAUAACAGGCUCGAUGAGAUACAGGUCAUCACACAAAACUAAACCAAAUCCUGCUGCAGAGAAACAAAUCACAAUUCAAAUCUUAAUGUUCGGUGAUCAACUCCAACUCAACACAGAAGAAAGGUUAUCCCAAGUUGUAAGUCUUCCUAAUCUUAUGAUUUUUAAUACUUUAAUUUUCAGAAAUAAAAUAAUAAUCCCAACUUGUUAACCGUUUUAAUAAAUAGCAUCAAGCAAGAAUCAACAUUAAAGAAAAAGUUUAAGUAUAGAGACAAUAAGACAUUCAAAACAAAGACAGACAUCAACAUUCAACAAGCUCGAUAUGAAACAUAAUCCAAACAUCAAAGCACAUAAACAAAUGACAAUUUAAUCCUUAUGCUUCGUGAACAAAUGUCAAGAAAUCAAAUAAAGAGGAAACUCAUAAGAAAUUAGGUUAUCCUGAAUUAUUGGUUGUUCUAAACACUUUCAGAUUUUAAUCCUCAACCAUUCUUGCAGUCUCAACAUGCUAAAAAGAAAUGAACACAAACAAACUAAGUCGGUAAUAAAGACCAAGAAUUUAAGAAAAGAUAAGAUUAAUUAAUAAAUUCAAGAAAUUAAAAAACUAAGAAUUUAAGAAAAGAUUAGUUGAACUAUUCAAGAAUUCAAAAAUCGAUAGAGUCGCAGUUGCUCAUAAAAGGCUCGAUAAGGUCAUCACAUAAAACAAAACCAAACCCUGCUGUAGAGAAACAAAUCAAAAUUCAAAUCUUAAUGAUUCGUGAUCAACUCCAACACAAAGUUAAAUAGCCUUUCACGUUUAAUAUUCAGCUUCAUGCAGACAAUAGUGCUCAAACAAAUCUUAUUCUCCUAAAGGAUUGUUAACAAGAAGGAUAUACAAUUAAAAUCCAAAAAUACUUAUAUAAAAAAGUACCAAGAGUAAUUCUCCAAUUUGCAGAGCAACAAAGUUUUCUCAUGCUACUACUCUACCCCAAAAACCAAUGCCUUUUAGAUUGAAACAAUUCCUGAUAUGGAAAGCAAGGAAGACAACCAAAGGAAACAUUAUCCCAAGUUGUAAGACAAUUUAAACUGUUAUGAUUUUUAAUACUCAAUCGACAAAUGCUAGAAAGGGAUGAAUGCAAACAGUUCAACCAACUCCUGGAUUUGUUAGAAAAAAGUGAGCCUGACUUGUUAGCCGUUUUAAUUGUUUUAAUUCAUUGCGUCAAGCAAGAAUCAGCAUCAAAUAUAAAUAGAAGAAACAAGAGUAGCAAGAAGUCAAAUCAUCCACCACCAUUGCCUCCACGACCAAAGAAACAUUCAUAGUAUGUCUUCCCUGGAAAGACCAAGUGGAAGUAACGGAGAACAAUUAUGAUGACCUUAAGCACUCAAUAUAAAAUUGAAUAGAAAAAAAAAUACAAGAUCCCAAAUCAUGUACGUUACAAGCUAUCCCACAGUUCUAACACUAUGUUGCACACAAUAUAAAAUACAUACAAUUUGUUUCACAAUUCUAACACUAUAUUGCACACAAUAUAAAAUACAUACAAUUUAUUUCUCGAUCAAAUUCAGAAGCUCAUCAUCGGGUUAAUUAAUCUUCAGUAUGCAAAGAUGUUAGUUGUCCCAAUAUCAUGAUUGAUUCAAUAUGAAGGAGAAAUCUAAAAUAAAGACUCGGCUCGUUGCAUAGUACUAAUUAAUUAAAAUAACAUUUACACUCAGCACGCUGCAUACUACUAAUUAAUUAAAAUAACAAUUACAUGGACUUACUGUCUCAUACCUCUAAACUCUUACAGUGCAUGUUACAAUUAGGCAUGAAAUCCCACUGUACAAGCUUAUCCAGAGAAUAAUAACAAGAAAAACUAAAGUUUCACAGGAUCUCCAUGUUUCCCAAACCUAUGACACAAAUACAUUGUCUCCCUGUAAAGCACAAGAGGAAAUAAAACUAGCAACUAAAUAUAUUUAUAUAUAUAUAUACCUAGAAAAUAUCUGAUAAACACAUCAUAUAUUUCAAACUUGUACACACACAGUUAGUAGUUGGACAAUUCCUAGUCCAAAAAUCCAUAAGGCUUUUGACUCUGCCCAAGCCCUACCCUGUCAAAAAUACCAAUCAAGAAUUUUCAGGGUAAAUGAUAAGAGAUCACCAAAUCAUGUUGUUGGUACUUGAACAAUGAAUAGAGAAUUGAUCACACCAAAAUUUCAUUCGGCCUUUUGCAAAUGAAUAAAUUUUUUAACAGUUCACUGCAAGACAAUUAAGAGAAUAGGUCCCCUGAAAUGAUAUUAUUGACCAAGAUUUUCAUUUAAUCACCUCUGAAAUUACUGAUCCUCUGAAACUCUUGUAAAGCCUGUUACCAACACCCAUAAAAACUUCCACAUUAGAAGGUUACUAAAAGCAUAGGCACGAGAAUCCAAAAAAACAGAAAAUUCAAACAAGUUUAGUCAAUCAUGUAUAAAUGCACAACAAAAUUCAAGGGUAAGAACAUAAAGCUUCGCUGGAUCUCGUGCCAAAGUGUCUACAUUCUACCUCAGUCGUUGCUUGUGUUGCUCAAAAGGAUGAAGCAUACAAACAAUAACACAAAUUCAAAAUAAAGAGAUUCACAACAUGAUUGAUUAGACGUAGCAUGAAACAUAAUGCAAACACCACCGCAGAGAAACAAAUGACAAUGAAAAAUCCUAAUAUAUGGUGAUCAAAUCUGAAAAAAUCAAAUAAAGAGGAAAUUCAAACCCAAUCUUUUUAUUUUGAUAGAUCUCUGUCACCAAAUAAAAAUUGCAUUCAAAUAGCUAGUCACAAAUGAACACAAGAGAAAAAUGUAAGGGUAACACUGUCUAAGGCUUCAACUGAUCCCCCAUGCUUCUAAAUGUCCUGACACAUCCAUUGCUCGUGUUACCUGUAAAGAGAAAAAUUUCUAGAAAACUAAAAAAAACUCGUUCUAGAGGAGGAAUUUUAGAAAAUAUUAGAUGAAUUCAAUCAGUAAACCACUGUUGAAAACCAAAUCAAAAUUUAAUACUAAUGUUGGUGAUCAGUCCUUAGAAGUAAAUAAAAGGUGGAACCUCAUAAAAGAAAUUAGGCUAUUACAAGUUCUUGUCUUUUCAAGUUGAACAUGCCGAUGGUAGCGCUCAAACAAAUCCUUUCCAAAAGCAUUGUUGUUAAAAAAUAUUCAAAAUAAAUCUGGAUAUACUUGUACAUUGUAUAAAAGAACUACCAUGAAAUACUAAAGGGUAACUCCCCAAAUUUCAGAGAAACAAAGUUGUCUCAUACUACUCUAAUUAUAGAAACUUAAUGCCUUAACAUUGGUUCAAUUCCUGAUGUGCAAACAAGGAAAUCUGAUACUGCCAGCUUACCACACAUUACUGAAAAUUGAAACCAAGUCAAAACCCACAGAAGAAGAUAGCAAGCCUAGAAUUAUCAGAUAAAACCAAGGUAGCCGUAGUCUCAUUCCUAAAAAUAAGUUUGUGACACAGAACUUUUCGAAAAUGCCCGACUUAAGAUUGGACAUCACAUGUUGUUUUGACUAAAAUUAACAAAUUCACCUCCAAAAUACAAUUCCUGUCCAGAGUCCGUUCUGACUGAAAUUGACAAAUUCACCUCUAAAACUUCAUUAUCUUUAUCGCAUACACUUCUUGUCCAAAUAGAACAAAUAUGAAAAAAAAUGAACUGAAAGGUUUAGGAUAACUAAUAAAAGAAGUCCAAUUAUCUAUCGCCAUGUCAUAAUGUUAACUUUCAAGCCCAAGUGGUUACAGAAAUAUUUCGAAAACACUCAACUCAAUAAACAAUGAAGGAAACAAAAGAAAAAAAAAAUCUAUCACUAGUUGUUCAGACAUGUUAGCCGUCCCACUAUAUAUAUAUUCCAUCACUGGUUGAGUUAUAAAUCUCAAAUAAAGACUCAAUGUGCUGCAAACAAAUAAAAAUAAAUGCAAAUUUCAAAACUAGACGAACGAGAAACCCAAAUGGAGAUUAAAGUGAAACAUUUAAAAUAAUUUCAAGAACAAAUUUCAAAAAUUUCCACCAAAGAGACACUGUUGUAACUCAUAAUAGGCUCAGACAUUGCUGUCACUCAUAAUAGGCUCUCAGACAUUGUUGUUUCAGGAUCAGAUUUCAAAAAUUUCCACCAAAGAGACAUUGUUGUCACUCAUAAUAGGCUCAGACAUUGUUGUCACCCAUCAUAGGCUCUCAAACAUUGUUGUUUUAGGAUCAGAUUUCAAAAAUUUCCACCAAAGACAUUGUUGUCACUAAUAAUAGGUUCUUGGACAUUGUUGUCACCCAUAAUAGGCUCUUAGACAUUCCUGUCAGCCAUAAUAGACUCUCAAACAUUGGUGUCAUCCAUAAUAGGCUCUCAGACAUUGUUGUCACUCAUAAUAGGCUUGCAGGAGAUUACAUGCAGCAAUUCCCAUCAAGUUCACAACUCAGCCCAUAUGUUUGGUAUGAAUCGAAAGGUUUCGGAAAACUAUACAAGAGCCAAAGACCUAUUAGAAGAUUAUCCAGAAAAGCAUCAAAAUUGAGUAGUAGAACUUUUCAAACCAAGGAGUAAACCAUAAAAUCAAAAGAGUAAAAGCCAACCGCAGUUCUCCAAUGCUCAUCCCACAAGAUGCCUCUUAUGAACCAUAAACCAUCAAAAUACAACCAAGAUUAUAAUCAAACCAACAAUGUACAGGCGAAAGAAACAUUUAGCUUCACAAAUAAAAUAAUUGAAUUUCCACAAUUUAAUCCUUGGAGAUCAAAUAGAGAAAAUAAUUCAAACAUCGAACACCAGUCAAUCCAACAACAGAGAGGAAACUAAUCGAGAAAUUAGGAUAUACUGAUGCAGCCGUUUUAAACCCUUUUUAGGGAUUAGUGUUUCAAAUAUCAGAAACUCGAAUUGCUGAAGGGGAAUGAACACCAACACCAAGUUAAGCUAUCACAAAUAAACGCAAAAGAAAGCACAAGAGUAACAGAACAUAAUACUUCACAUCAUGUCCUACACCACGCAUCCAUUGUGUCUUCCAUGUACAACCCAAAAAUUCAAGAAACGAAUUACUGUACAGUCAAAAAUUCAAGGAAACGAACUAAGCUCUUAAUAAAAAGAAGUAUAGAAAAGAUGAGGAUGCAGAUAAAGACUAAAAAGACUUGGACGUUACACAACUAAUCCGAACACCACUGCAGAUAAACAAAUCAUAAUUCAAUCUUAUUAUCGAUGAUCAAAUACCAGAUAAAUUAAAUAACAAAAAGAAGACUAAAAGAAUACUUGAUCAAUUGGCCUUCUGAACUAUUAUGCUUUCCGUUUCAUCCACUGAAAAAACAGGAAUUUGAUCAAAAGGUUCAAAACUCGCCAUCAUCACAUAAAGAAUCAUAUUCGGAGUAAACGAUCUUCAAUCCCAUAGAAGCGUAAAUGAAUCUACUAAUAAUUCUUACGUUCUUCAAUACCAUAAACGCACAUUGAUCACCAAUUAGUAAUUCUUAAUAACUCUUGCGUUCUUCAAUCCGAAAACACAAACAUCAUAUAAUUAGACAAAGCAGAGAAUCAAGAAGUGUGAACUAAUAAGAAGCACAACAAUCCCCCGAAGCAAUAGUAAAAAAAUUCAAUCACCGAAGCAAUACCAUCAAUAACAACAAAACUCAAUAGUCAAGAAAGAUCUUAGGUAUAUAUAGAAAGAGAUUACCAAGAUUAACGGCUGAGAUUACGUGGUGGAUGAAAAAUGGAACUAAUGAUGUAAUUAAGGUUUUGAUUCUUAUCUUAAGACGACUUAAAAUAGGAGAAACAACAUUACAAUUAUUAUUUUAAUGAUAUUUAAAAAAAUUCUUACAAAUAUUGUUUUGGUUUUAUAUUAAUAGAUAAUUCAUUAACAUUUUAGUCAACAUAAUUAAAUUUUAGGAGUUUUGAUUUGAGUUCAAUUUCUAACAUUUUAAUUUUUACAAAUUAUAUUAUCAAUUUUUAAUGCAUUUUUAUUUUAAUAAAUAUUUUGUAUUUUAUCCAUUUGAAAAAAAAAACUUAUUUCUUUAACUAAUGUUUUUUAAAAUAUUUUCCUCAUUAGCUUUAUUAUAAUAAGACAGUAUGAGUUCUUUCUAGAGCAUGUGACUUUUUUUUAUUGGUAUUUCAGAUUAUUUUUAUGUUUUUCAAAUUAUAUUAUUAGUUUUUUAUAUUUUUGUUUUUAUCGCUCAAGCUGAAGUUUUAUUUUAUUUAUUUUUAAGGGGAAAGACUUUUUUUUUAUCUCACCAAUAAUUAAUAGAAAAACAACUUCUAUUAUAAAUAGGCAUAUGCUGUAUUAAGUUCAAUCGAUUUUUUGUUUGAUUUUAAAACAAUUAAUUUUUUUAUAAAAUAAUGGUGAUUCUUUAAUAAAUAUAUUGUAUAUAAAUUUAAGGUAUUUUUCAUUACUUCUAUUAGUGACUGUGAAUCCAUUUUCCAAAAUAUACUGAAAGUUGAAAACAAUUUUUACUAUUAAUCCAUAUUUUUAUAAGAUUAAAAUAAUUUAUUUAAAUGUAAUCCAAUAAUAUCGUUAGAGUUGUUUUAAAAAUAAUUUCACAAAUAUUUAAUAAAAAUGUAAUUUUAACUAAUAAUUCAAAAACUUACCGAAAAAUGAAAAUGAAAAUGAUAAACAUUUUAAAAUACAAAAUGUAAUUAUUUUAUUAAUUAAACUAUUUGUGUGUUUCACUAAAUAUAUUUAUGUUAUGUAAUCAAAAUUUUAAAAAUAAAAUAUAUUUCUAAAUAAUUUAAAAAUGAAUUAAGACUUCAUAGUACUAAAUACAAUUUGGAAAAAAAAAAUAUGUACAAAUUAUUCAUGGUGAAAUACUCAGAUUUGAGACAACAUUUUCGUGACGCCUUUUUUUAUACAUGUUAAAAAUAAAUAAAAAACUAAAGAAGUUAUACAAAAAAAAAUACAAAUUAAUUUAUACAUAAAUUAAUUUUAAUUAUUAAAAAAUUUAAAUCAUUUUUUCGUCUGAUUUCUUUUAUAGGAUUUGUAAAAAAAUUGUCGAAAUAGAACUUUAAUUUUUUUUUUUAAAGUUCUAAGAAUAAGUUAAAAAAUAAUGUUGAGAACAGAAUAUCACCUUUUUUAUGACCACAAAUACAAUAAUUAAACACCAUUUUUAUCUCCUUUUUUUAUCAGAUUUAAACUCUCUAUAUUCUCUUGUGAUUUCUACUUUCUUCCUCCACCAAUUAAAUGGUGACGCCUUAUUUAAAUUAUAUAUAUAUAUAUAUUAUCCAAAUAUCAAAAUACCUUUAGAUUAAAGAAAAAAUAUGUAUUUAUCUCCUAUUAUAUUAUACUAAAUGUCAUUCUUAUUCUUUUUAAUUUUAAAAUAAACAUUUAAUUCUUUUAUAUUUUUUAAUAAAGUGAUGGUUAUAUUUCCUAUAAUUUUCAAAUAAGAAUUUAUCUUUAUUACAUUUUUAAAAAUCAUGGUUAUAUCUGUUAUAUUUUUAAUAGAGGACAUUCCUCUCAUUUACUUUAUUUAUAAAAUAUAGUUUUUUUAAUAAAAGGUUCUUUGGUUUUAUUUUUAAUUUUUAAUUUAUAUAUUUAAGCUUUAAUGAAUAUAGAUUUAAAGAAAAACAAGUGACUAUUAUUUUAAUAUAUAUAUAUAUAUUAUUAUUAUUAUUAGUAAUGAUAACACACUCAUGAAAUAUUACAGAUAAUAUAUCAUAUAAAUACUAUACAGUACAUAAAGUCAUAUAUAUAUAUAUAAUAUUAUGUGUUUCAUCAUCAUUAUCAUUAUCAUCAUGUAGAUAUUAUUUGAGUGAGUUCAUCUUAUUUGAGCGAGUUCAUUUCGUUUGAACAUUAUUUAUUAAACUGAAUCACUUGCACGACCUCACAAUGUUUAAGCGAUAUGACUUGAGAAAAAACGCUAUUUUGAUUAUUUCAUCAAUGUUUGAUCGACCACCUGUUACUUAAGCGUUGAUGUAUAGUUGCAUGAUCUCACACAUUCUAAAAUUUUAUGCACUACUUGAGUGACAUUAUGUUGUUUGAGCAAUAUUUCAGUCUAAUGAAGAAAGAAUUGCUCCUCCUUGCUCAAACCUCAAGUUGUUAUCGCUCGAUCUACAUUUAAGCAAUAUUGAGUAGUAAAGUAAUUGGAUAGGUAAACUUACUUAAUUCAUAACUUUAUAGUGAGAUGAGUUGGAUUAAAAAUUUUAAGGUUAAUUAUUAAAGUAGUGAGGUAAACUGAUAAAUUAUAAAAAUUAACUAUGUUUCAUAAUGUAUUUCAUAAAUUAUAAAAAUUAUGGGGAAAAAUUCAAAAGUGAAUAAUUCGAAAAAGUCACUUUAGAGAAGAAUAAAAUGGUCAUUUCAAUAAAUUAUGGGAUUGUAGAUUAAACAAUGUGGGUACAUUAAGUAAAAGCCUUCUUUGAGAUCAUGGGCUAUUCGUAAGCCCAAAAUUUGAAUACAGACCUUAAAAUAGAAUGUUGUUUGAUAUAAAUAUAUAUUACAAUAAAUAAAUAAUUUCGUAAAUUUAUCAAAUAUGUUAUAUUUUAUAACAUAAAUUAAAAAAAAUAGUAUAAAUUUUCUCCAAUAACAUUUUUUAGUUUCUACAAUCAAAUAAUAACAUUAAUUGGUAAUUGUGAAGAGUUAGCAGAAUAUAUGAAUUAUUUUAAACAAUGUUUUUUAGUCUCUUAUGUUGGACAACAACGGCACAAGUAUGAGUUUAAGAGUAUUUGUCUUUAUUUCUGAAAUACAAUUUUAUAUUAUUUUGUUUUUUAUUUUGUAAAUGUUGUGUCUUAUCCCGGUCUAUGUCUCUCUUGGUUAGUGGUAUAUUCAUGUAUGCUCUUGUUCUAUCUCAAAUAUUAAUUAAAUAAAUUUUAUUACUUGAAAUAAAAAAGACAUUAAAAAAUAUAUUAUCAAUGAUUCAAUGUUAUUUUAAUUUUAAACAUGAAAUUAUAAUAUUAUAAUAUAAUAUUUAAUAACAAUUACAUAAAUAUUAAAAAUAGAAAAUAAAAAUAUUAAAAAAAUAGAAAUGAUCAAAUGUAUGUCUUAUAAAUAAUUUAAUUCAAUAAAUCUAAGUUUAUAUUUCUUAAAAUGAAAUAAAUAGUUUUGUACACUAAGAAAACAAAUAUGUAGUUGAAAUUGUGAUGAGAGAAAAAAUAUCUUAAAGAUUUUGGUAAAUUUGGUGCGUUUCGAACUAAGCCAACAAUUGAGAGAGAGAAUAAAAUAUUAAGUAACAAAAUAAAAGUUAUUCAGAUUAAACGAAACAAAACACCAAACAUAAUAUUAAAAAUAUAUUUUUUAAGUUACCAGAUAAAUUAAGGGUGUUUUAGUAUUUUUUAAAAAAUUAAAACAUGUAUGAAGAUAGAGGUGGACAGGUAUGUAUAUAUUUAUCUUCGUCCUCAAACCAAAUUUAAAAACUCAGAUAUUACUCAUAUUCAUACGGUUGGGUUGGGCUCACUUCUUAUGUGGAGGCCCAGCCCAAUAUUAAUCACCUUUAUGUUUUUUAUUCUUCAACAGAGAAGGUAGUCAGUUGAGUGAGAGAGAGAGAGCAAAGAGAGAGAGUAGAGAGAGAGAGAGAAAAAGAAAAGGAGAAAAGAGUGAAGAGAGGAAGUUUUGUCUAGCUACUUUCGGUCGUCGCCGACACUUUGCCCAUCAUUGGAUCGGGCUGAGAUUUUGUCAAAAGGUUCAUAACUUGUGGUAGUUCAAUUUGAUCAUUCGGAUAUUUGAGAAGUUGUUUGAGCAGUGAGAAAUUCGUCUCACACUACAACAACGCUUUUUGAGAAUGGAAAAUUUUCCGAUCGUCGCUGCUGCUUCGUCCAUCGUUGGAUGGGUCUGGGAAUUUGUCAGCAAAUUCAUAACUCGUGGUGCUUCAAUUUGACCAUUCAGAUUGUUGAAAAGUCACCGGAACAGUGACCUAUAGGCCGUGUACAGUAGCUAUGAUUUUUGUGAAUUUUCUGGUUUAUUGUUCUCUAUUUUACCUCUGUUGACUUGUUAUUUAGCUGAUUAUUAAGCACGGUUUGUGUUGUGAUUUGAGACUCUCCUGUAACCUUAAUUUUGAUCAUAGUGGAGCUUGAUUGACUGACUUGUGUUCGUUGUUUUUACUUCUCGUAUUGAGAAGAUUUUCUAAGUUAAAAUUUGUGUUUUCCUUCCAUGUAUUUUUGUUGUUGCCAUUAUUUGUUAUUGGUACUCAUAGAUUCUUGUAAAUUGGAUUACUUAUUAUUAUUUGCUUAUUGCUCUGAUUGAGUUAUUAUUUCACUGUGUUGAAUUUUUCAUCACAUACCCAUACCCAUGUUCAUGAAAAAUUCUCAUCAAAAUUAAAAGAGUUAAAGACAAUUGAUGAUGUUGUAGCAUUUGAUAAAUAAUUAGAAACAUUGAUUAUCAAAACACAAUCGCACAACUUUCCAAUUUAUUACAUUGUUACUGUAGUUGAUUUACCAUUAUUUAAAGUUGUAACGAUAAAAGUAAAAAGAUCUCAAUGGCAAAUGUUAUUGUAUGGAGCGAGAAUGUCUCUUUUUUAUACUCUAUUCCUUUCAAGACGAUUUCUCCGUAGUGUGGAUGAUCUCUCUUUGAUGCGGAAUGAGGGCACACUUGCAAAAGGUGUUUUGACACUUUAAGUCACUUCUUUUGAAUAGUUGAGGGUAAUAAAUGCUAUUAAAAACAUACAUUUAUUUAAUUUUGACAACUAAUUUAUUAAAAAUUAUUCUUUCAUUUUUAAAUGAAUUAUUAUAGAAACUUUUAAUUGUAUAUAUAAUAAUCUAGAAGGGAUAAUAGAUUGUAUUUCAGUUAGAUUCUAUGGUAUGGAACAUUGAUAUUAUAACUCUUAACAUAUAGUGAAAGUAUUACAAUUCUAUUGUAACUUAACUCUUCUAAAUUCUGAAAUCGACAAUAAAAUUAAUCUGGUUAACAAAACUCAUCUAUCAACAAUUAUUUCACUCACAGUUCAACAUGUAAUAUUAGGUCUAAUGGUAAUACACUUUUUUUUAAGUAGAAAUAACUUAGUAUCAAAUACAACCUGAAUUGGUCAUACCCAAAGGGACAUGUCGAAAGGUCAGGAGGUGAUAAAUGUCUAAUUUCAGUAAUAUUUCAUAUUAAAAUAUAGGCACUUAUGAGAAUUUAUUGCUAAUUUACAUAUAAAAUAAUCCCUAAUUUAUGAAUUUAUACCUUUUUUAUAUUUUUUGUGAUCUUUAUUUGAAUAAGAGUAUUUUUCAAAUUUGGUGUUAAUUGCAGAUUUCUAAGGAAAAUUGGAGAUUUGAAUUUAAGAUGAAUGAUUUAAGCUAAAAAGAUAAAGAUAGAAGGUCCCAGAAUGGAAAAGAUGCAAAGAAAGAUUGAGCUUUUUUAUGUUUUAUCAUUUAGCCCAUUAGCGCGACACAAGAAGCAACCUAACCCAGAAAACUACGAUAAAUAGAGGGCUAGAGACUCAACUGUAGUGUGCCAGAUUGAGAGGAAAACACCAUAGAGUGAAUUGUAACCCAAUUGGGAGAAUGGAAGGUGCUAGAAGUAUGCGUGCUAAUUCUACCCUUUGGGAUUUGAAGUAAUCCGCUCAAACUCUUAUGUAUUGAGGUGAUAUCUUAUAUAUUAAUAUUCAGUUCUUGAUUGAUUAUUGGUAUUGUUGUUUUACUUUUAAUUUUUCGUGACACCUCGAUAGUUAGGGAACAUUCUUAAGAAUUUUAUAUGCGAGGAAUCGAUAUAAAUGAUUUUUAUACGGGCUUCAAUUUCAAUCAAAGAACUUAAUAUUGACAUGCUAAUCAAAAUACUUGAGAGUGAGAGAGAUGAAACUAAUCCUUAUUUUUCCAAUUGAAACAACUAAUUAUUUGUUUGUUUUCUUAUUGAUCAGUGCCAACACAAUUAAUUCAAAACUCUUUUAAUUGUUCUGUUUUUAUAUUUAGCGAUUAUUGUACUCGAUAAUUCAUUGUUCCUUGUGAGAUCGAUAUCCGUCCUUAGGGACAAUUAUUACUUCUUACAAACGCGGUGCACUUGCCGUAAAAAGUCAUCAGGAGGUUAAGAAGUCGAAAAAAGAAAAGAACGAAAGAGAUGUUAGUGGAAAUCUUACGUGAAAAGGCAUACAUGUGUCAAUUUUAAUAAGAAACACAUAUAGACAACAAAUAAAAUUAAUUAAGUGUUAAAGGAAAAAAUUAUAAAAAUAGAAAAUCAAUUAAAAUAGAUGAUAAGUAGAAGAUUUAAUAUGAAGUGACAAGCUCAAUAAACUCUUAUUAACGAGUAGUAUAAAUAGAUAAAAUAUUUAGUUUAAUAGUUUAAUUUUUUCGAUGAAUGAUUAAAAUAAAUUCUAGUUAAGCUUUAGAGAAUUUCUACUUAUACAACAGAGGAAAAGAAAAACGAAAAGGAUAAAGCAAGGAUGGAAGACACUCUUCCCUGUAAAAUUUGUACAAGUACACACCCCUUUGAGUUAAUGAUAAAAACUAGAUCUAAGAGUAUAAAAUAGUAAUUUGAAAUGAAUAAUUUAUUGAAAAAAAAACAUGUUGAUGUUCUAAAAUAGUUUAAAUAAUAGUGAAAGGGCUUUGGUAAUGAUGAUGAUAAGAGAAAGGAAGGAGUUUGAUUUUUUAUGCGCUUUCAAAAUCAAGGGUCCAUGUGCACCAUUCUCCGUGUUUAUUGCAUGGAGCAAGUGGCAAGUGAAUUUGUUUUGAAUAAGACUAAUGUUUCACCCAAAAGGAAAAUUAAAUAUAUGAUUCAAUAAACUAUCUUCAUUUUCGUGGUGAAAACAAAUGAGGAAGUUAUGCUUAUAUAAUGCAUUUAUGAACAUAAUCUUUUGUGUAAUAAAAAUAAAAUUACGAUUAACUUGGUAGAAAAAGAGAGAGAUAAUACUAUAGAAUAAAACUUUAUUGAUAAAUAAUGAAGAGAGAAGAAUAUAAAAUAGUUUUGAAAAAAAUACUCAUAAUUUUGAGUAGCACUACAUUUUGUAAUGAUAUUAAGAGAGCAACAUAUCCAAAUUAUUCAACUUUUGCAUAAUUGGGGAAGGGUUCACCGCUGUACGUCACUCAAAAAAGGAAUCGUACGGCUACGGGUUUUUUCAUAAUUAUUCAAAAUAAUAAAAAUAAAAAUAAUAAAUAAAUAUUAAUUGGGACAUAAUCUAACCCAUCCAUUUUAACUCAAAUUUAACAUCUUAAAAUUUAUAUCAAUCAUUUAAUUCAGAGUUAACUAAAUAUAAAUUAUUCAAGUAUAUUUUUUUUAAGAAAAGAAUUAAAAAAAUCAAAGUAUUUAAGAGAUGUUUCAACUUAUAUAAAAAACAAUCUAAACUAAAAUUUAUAUAUAUAUAUAUAUAGCUAAACAUUAUAACAUAUUUCCUAAAAAUAAUAAUCUAUAAGAGUCUUUCAUAACUAAAUUAUAUACACUAGCCAACAUUAAUCAUUACAAGUAUCACUUAAUAUUAGUGAGUGUGUUACUUUGAUUUUAUUUAUAUUGGACCAAACUUUUGAAAAAAAAUAGUUUAUAUUAAUUUUAGACAAAUAAAAUAAAUAUAUUAAACCAUUAGCAUAAAAGAGUGUGUGUGAUUUCAAUAAUUAUUUUAUAAUAGACCAUGUGUUGUACAAUUUAUUCUUAAAUUUAAUAAAAGUUGACCAUGUAAAAAAUAAAAUUAAAAAUUGAAACUUAUAAUUUUACUAGAUUUUAACAAAAUUUACUAAAAUGACAAUAUUUUGGUCCGGUUAAUUAUAAAUGAAUUUCAAAAGUUGAAUCCAAAUUCAAUCCUUUUAUCUUUGUGAAUUGAUUUUGUUCAAACAAAAAUCCAUUUACAUAAUUUAACUCAUUUGUUUUCAAAGGAUACUUAUAAAUUUCAACUUUUAUAGUAUGUUUGUUCGAUGUGUAAGGAAGGACGGAGAGGCGAGUGAGAGGAGUGUCUAUUUGAUUUUGUGUGUUUGAGGGUGUUGAUGCGGAUGGGGAGUGGGGUGAGUCCUUUUUUACUUUUCACUUUUGUGAGAAGAUGUGCACUGAUUACAUUUGGCACAAGAUGCAAUUUUACUUUUGUAUCCUUCCAUCCAUUCUAAAUAUAUUAAACACUAUAGGUAGUUCUGCAUGCAUUUUUUAAUGGCUUUUCUUUUUUACACUGCUCAGUGUUAGCACUGGGUAGAAGAAUCUUGACCAAAAAAUUGUAGACCCAUGAACGUGAAGUGUUUGUUAGUGUGUAAAUAUAAUUAGGUUUGUGAGAGUUUUGCUUGUUGUGAAGUUUGCUCUUAUGCCCAGAACGAUGAAAUUGGUUUGAGGAAUGAGAGAACUGGUCUGCCUUGAUUUUUUUUUUAGCAGUCCUGUACAUUCAAAAUCAUUUAGAAACAAUAAAAUCGAUUCUGGUGGUUGUUUUAGACAAACAUAAUUGAUUUUUGAAUUUUCCAAAUACAUAAUCAAUUUUCAUAUUUUUAUAAAUGGUGCAAAAUCAAUUUUCAAUUUUCAAAUUGUGCAAAAUCGAUUUUUCAAUUUCUGAAAUGGUGUGGGUGAAGGUUGAUUUUUAUAAGUAAAACAGAUUUUCAAGAAAAGUGUUGAAAUGUUAACUAACUUGUUAUGAUUUUUUUUUCCUUAUUGAAUCUUGGAUCUUGGGUGCUUUGGAUCUUGGAUCUGUUAUAGUGGUUCUUUGCUUCUCUUUAUCAUUCUGUUUCUUCUUUUUCUUCUUCUUCUUCUUCUCCAGUACCCUUCACCUUUAUUUUAUAAAGUCAGUUGAAAAAACACAUGUUGAGACAAAUAAUUAGGUCAUUAAUAACUACAUUAAUGCUAAAAAUAUACUACUUUAUAAAUAUUAAAAUCUAUGUAAUUCAAAUGUGACCUUUUUCUGAAAAAAAAAAUUCAUAUAUUCUUCAUAAUUUUAAGUCUGUUGGUAUUAAUGGUUUGUUGAAUAUUAUUGACAGUGAUAAGAUCAAAUUAUUGUGUUGUCUAAGUACGAAAACAUAAGUAAUCCAUUUUUAAUGUUUGUAAGUUUGAGAUAAAAACUUUUAAAAUUAUUAUAUAAUGACGCAAGCAUGAUUUAUUUUUCAUAAAAAAUGAGGACUAUCUGCGUAUAUUUAAAAUUAAUUUCAUGCAUGGCUACAUGAAUCUGCAUCCAUUGAAACUUAAUACAAGUUGAGGUAUUUAGAAUAUGUUUGAAAAAGAAAUUAAAAUUAACUUAUUUACAAUUUAAAAACAAGAAUUUAAUUAAACUAUGUAGAAAAUAUUUUACAAAUUAGUUUAUGCAUUAACAAAUUUUAUUUUAUAAAAGAAAAUUUAUUUUUCUUCAAUUUAUCUUCUAGAAAUAUUUUUAAAAAAACUUAUCCAAACAGACUCAUUGUUCUUAAUUUCUUCUAUACUAACUCUUGCAUAGGGUGCAUGAAUAUAUUUAGUGGUAUUUUGGUUCAGAUGUUGGAUCGUGAUCUUAGAUUUUUUUAUAUUUGGUCGUGAGAAAAGUGAAUGGAUGAAAAAAAAAAUCCAAAAUUCAAAUUGGAAAAAAAAUGAAGGAAAAAACUUUAACUUUUUUUUUUAAUUUUUAAGAUGUUUUUUUCUUCUUCAACUAUAGAAAAAGAAAACACAUUGUUAUUCUUUUCUUUUUUCAAACAUUCUUUAUGGGGAACAUCAUUUUUAUGUGAAUUAACAAAGCCUUCAUACAAUAUUUUAAUUAAAGCUUUUAUCAAAAUAAAAAUAAGUUGUAGAAGUUUAAAGUUAAAUGUGAUUCCAAUUCACUAAAAUUCGUUAAAAAUAAAAUUUUAAUAUAUGGCAACUAAUUAUUUUAGUAUCUAAACUUAGUUUUUAUAAUAAUUAUUUUAGAUAGUUAAUACUAAAAAUAAUUAUAAUUAUUUUUUGUUUUAAAUAACUUAUUUGAUAUCAAACAUGCAUCGUUCAAAUUUAAUUUCGAACAUUUAUACAAUUGUGAAAAGUACAUUAUUCACGCAAAAAAUAAUAUAUGUUUAAAGCUAUAUAAUAACUAUAGUAUUUAAUUAAAUUUUAAUUUUAUUGAAUUAAAUUAGACUUAAUAUUUAGUCAAAAAAUUAUAAAAUAUUUAUUUAAAUAAUUAAUAUACAUUAAAAAAAUUAUAUAAUUAAUUAUAUAGGUGAGUUAUGGAGUAAGUUGGAUAUUAUAGUAUUAUUUGCACUUCAAAAUAGAUUAAGUCAGUUACACAAAAUCCCCAUUUGCUUAAUUUUAUAUAAAAAAAAAGAAUAAUAGACAAUAAUAUAAUUUUAUUAAAAUAUAUAUUAGAAUUUAUUUAUAAAAUCAUUAUACCUAGAUUUAAAAUGAAUUUCACUCAUGUGAUUUAAUUUUUUUAUAUAAUCAUUUAUUUUAUUUUUUAAAGUAGUCUAAUUUAAUUCAUUGACGGGAAUAAGAAAAUGAUAUCGAAUGAAGGUCAACCAUAAUAAUGCCUAACAAUAAUCGAAAGAGUCAUUUCUAAAAUUAGUGGAAGUACUUUUAAAAAAUUUCUUAUUUUGGCGUUAAAAAUAUGAUACUUAAAACUUUGUUAAAUUUGACGUUCAUAUAUUUAAAAUAUAAUAUAUUAUAGCAUUAAAAAAUAAAAUACAUAAAUAUAAUCACAAUACAGUAAUAUAAUUUUAUCUAAUAUAAUUUUGAAAUUAAAAUGUAAAUAAAUCAAUAAAAUAUUAAAUACUUCAAAAUAUAAAAAAGAUGAUCGUAUGUCACUUUUAUAGUGUAGAAUGAAUAUUGAACCAUAUAAGGGGCAUUGUAGUAAAUUUCAUGACUUUUUUUAUUGGAAAAAACAGUGUCACAAAAUUGUUUAUUGUAUUGUAACACGGGCCACCAAAUAUAUUGACUUUUUGUAUCAAACUCAUUGCAGAACAAAUAUUUAUUUUACUAACAUAAGAAGAAUACUAGAUUAAUAUUCUUAAUUUUUGUUUAGGAAUAAUUAUACUUAUUUUCUUGAGAUUGGGGUUAAUUAUACUCACACAAUUGAUACUUUUUUUAAGUGUAUUCCAUAUACUAAAUACAUAAUGUGUAUAAUUCACAGAUAGAAAUAGAAGAGGUACGUGGAUUUUUUAAUUCCAAAAUGUAAGAAUAAUAUAUAAACUAAAAUUGUGACUGUGAUACAAAUUUUUUAGUUGUGAUAUUUUUUAUUUGUUUUGGUCUCCAAAGUUAUAAAUAUAAAUAUAAAUAAAAUUAUUUAUCAUACAUUGGUUUGUAAUAUGCACUUUGACCUAGUAAGUUUUAACUACAAAUCGAUCUAAAUUAAUUUGUAUAAGAAUUAAAAUAUAUUCCUUUUAAAAAAACCAUAACUUUCCGUGAUACACAUUUUUUUUUCUUUAUAUAUAUUUUUCUCUCUAAAUAUUUCUCAUCUCUUUUCAUUUUCUCUUUCAAUCUUCAUCUAUUUUAGAAUCUAAUCGGACCACGUUGUAGCCGAUGAGUUAAGAACAUUUUUACUCAAUUAGAUUUUCAAACAGAGUAAAUUCAUUUUUGCUCUAAAGAUCAUUUGUUCUCUGUUUUUCUUUAGGAUUUAGUCAUCAAUCUUGGUGGGAUCAGUUGAGAAGAUUAAUUCUCUCAACUUAUUUUACUAUAUAUUGAAUUUUUGUUAUGUUUGGAUAACUUGUAUUAGGCUCGUAAAUCUUGAAGUUUAUCUGUACUGUGGGGAAUACAAUUCUAGAAGUUGUUUGGAAAGCAAGUAAUUAAGGUAAGGGAAACUAACUUAAAUUUUUAAUAGCACCCUAGGUUAGAUGAUCUGGAUGUGGAAGGGACGUGGUCCCAGUAUUCAAUUUCUCUUGUAGGGAUGUUGUGUGUUUAUAUAUUGUGUCACUUGUUUAUAUAUUAUUUAAACUGAUAUAAAUAUUAGAUUUUGAUGGUUUAGUAUUUAAGUGAUGUUUUGUUAUGUUAAACAGACUUUUAAAUGUUGUGGAUCACGUUUUGAAUGAUAUUGUAUGAUGAAAAUGGUAUGAAAUUGAAUUAAUACAUUUGAGAUAAUGUAUGGAUUGAUGUAUGUAUGUGUAUUAAGUAUUGAUGUUUAUGUGAUAACAUAGAUCUACGAGCUUCAUUGAUGAUCUAAGUCACAUAGACUAAGAUAUUAGGUGGUGAAAAGUGGUGAAAAGUCGAUGGAGGAGUUCAUGCACACCGUGACAUAUGAGAUGCACGACUUGGGUUGUAUUGAACUUAUCCUGAUCCUUUCUAUUGGACUCAAUGAUAAUCUUUGGAUCAGGUGUUAGUCUUUGGUAAGUCUUUUAAAAGGCGUCAGAUGUUAUUUUGUUUGUUGAAUAUCCUGGAUGUGUAGAUCCAUGUAAAAUCUAUGUGAUUGUUUUAUGUUGGGAUUUGAAGAAAAUUGAAUAAUUGAGAAAUUGAUCCAUGUAAUUUAGUUUUUUCUUUUGAUUUAAUUGUGUAUAUUAUAAAAAUUUAUUUUCACUAGCUUACCCUUACUUUUCUUGUUGUAUUGUGAAAUGUGCGAUGAUUGUACUAUAUGUACACGAGUAGAUGAUCACAUAGGUGUUGGAGGUCCCGAAAAGCUUUAGGAUGUUCUUUUGAACUUUAUAUUAUAAAUAUUUACAUUUCUAUAAGUCCUAAUCAGAUAUUAGAAAUAUUUUAAAAAAACUCUAAGCUUGUAUAGAAAUAUGUAGAACCUGUGUUAUAAUAGUUAGAUGUACUUUUUUUAGUGUUACAAAAUGUCUUGUUUAAUUUAAUUUAUUUAUUGUACUGGUAGCCUAAAACCGAGAGGUAUAGGCCGAGAACUACAUGUUAAAUAACCAAAGUGAUAAGUUAAAACCGAGAGGUCUAGACCGAAACCUGAAAGGAUAAUAGAAAUUAUAAUAAAACCCAAUUUAAAUAAGGAACUUGCACAAGGGGGUGUAAAAAUAAUAAAAAGGUGUAAAAAGAAAGUCCAAAAGUACUGUAGAAGGCCCAUCAACGAAACCCUAUAAAUAGGAGGUCAGCACAAGAAAAAGGUAAGAGUGAUUUUAUCUGAAAAACCAUUAAAUUGUUUCUGACUUUGGCAUCGGAGCGACUUGCAGGUACAUCCCCCCACCUGUGAGGAAUACCAGCCGAAAGGAGCAGCCGAGAAGAGCAGCCAAGAGGAGCAGCCGAGAGUGCCAGCCGAGAAAAGUAGCCGAGAGUCCAGCCCAGGAAGUAGUUCAGCCCAAGAGGAAACCGAGAGUCCAGCCCAAGAAGUAGUUCAGCCCAAUAGGAAAUACCAUUUUGGUCGUCUUGUCAUUUUGGUUCGAGUGUUCUUGGUCCUUUUUGUAAGAACAUUUAUUAUUAAUAAAAAAAAUAUUAAAAAUAAAAUUAUUUUACAAUAUAUAAGUGAAGAUAAAAUUUGAAUUGAUUUUUCAACCUAUUUUACAAAUUUCAAUUAAGUUUAAAUACACUUUCUAAUAUCUCACCUUCAAUUGAUUCCAACUUUAAAUGUUAAUGCGGGCAACUGUUAGCAUACCACUUUCACGUGUAUCUAAAAUGUACAAAAAAAUUAUACCUUGAAACCAUAUAAAAUAAAGUAUCUUCACUUUACGACCCCUAUUUUAAGAUAUAAUAAUAAUAAUAAUAAUAAUUUAUAUUAAGAUAUAAAAAAUAUAAUUAAAAUAUUAAUAUAUUAAAUUGUGAAGAUGUUGUUUUUCUUAAGAAUAUAUCAAUAUAUCAUCUCUAUCUUAAUUAUAUAACAUGACAUCAUAAAGUAAAUAGUGAUAAUUUACAUACUUUUAUACUCUUGUCAUAUUAUAUAUAUCUCUUAUAAUUUUCUUUCUUUCUAUAUAAAUAUCCAUGAAAACAUUUUCUAAAAGUAAAACCAUGAAUCUUCUGAGAAAAAAAAUAAAUGGACAUCCAUCCAACACCAUUAUUAUAAAUAAUAAUAAUAACAAUAAAGUCAUAUAAAUAAAUUUUGAUGAGGUAUUUGGUAAAAAAUAGUAAUUUUUCUAGCAUCACUCAUGUUGUUUCUGUAUCUUAAAGUAUACGUGGAAAGAAAGUUCAUGUGGAGUCCACUCAGAUUUAUACAGAAAGCCAACUCAGAACACUCAAUUAUCAAUUUACUCGGUAAUUUUAUUCAACAUAUAAUUGAAAAAUAAUAAUAAAAACAAUUAUAUUUCUUACAAAUUUCAACAAAUAAAAAUUCAAGAUUAAUAUAUUAAAAAAUUAUUGUAUUAACUUUAUUUUCUUCUUAAUUAUUAUUUUUUAAUUAAAAGAUUCUUUCAGUGUAAUGAAUUUUAUUUUUUUUACAUCUCUCAAAUGAGUUCUUUCUGACCGGUUUUGUCGUCAAUUCGAAUUGUGACUCAUUUACUUUGAAUUGUCAUUACUUACAUCUACACAUGAAAAAUUAAUAAAAAUAAUUUAAUUAAAUUAAAAAAAAUAUUAGGUACUCAAAUAUAAAUUAAUAAAAAAAUCAAAUUUAUGAGAGACUUAAAAUUAAUUAAACCAUAAUAAUAAUUAAAGUUUGAUUGCUUACAUGUAAGCAAGUGAAAAAAAUUAAUAUGUUAAAAAUUGUUUAAUUAUAUUUUCUCUUCUUACUAACAUUUGCAGAAAUAUUUUUAAGUAAUUAAUUAUUUAAUUAAUGUAAACCUUAAUUUUUAAUUAAAUUUAAUUUUUAUUUCCAAUUUAUUAAAUAAUUACUUCUUAUAUUAAAUCAUAUAUCAAUUUUAAUUUAUAUUCAUUCUUAUUAAAUGUUAGCUAAAGAUAUUCAGAACAUUCAUUAUAUUAUCCAAUAUUUUUAUUCAAUGAAAUUCAGUGAAAUUUUUUUAUUCAUUUUCCUUCACUUUUUAUCUUAUUUCUCUCAAUCAAAAUAAUAUCGUCUUUCACUCUAUUUCUCUCAUUUUUUUACUCUCUCAAAUCUAACUUUCAAUCCAAACAAACUCGAAAUUUAUAAGUCCAUAAUUUUAAUGUAAAAUUAAGAUCUAUAAAAAAACAUAUUUUAUAAUAAUAGUAAAUUUAUUGUUACCCUUAUCAUUUUUUAAUAUUAAAAAAUAUGCAAGAAACAUAAUAUUUUACAUAACAAUAAUAAUCAUUUUUUAAACAUGCUAUAAAUCAAUUUAAAUCAAAACAUCACAAAAUUGGGUAUUGAAAUAAUAUAUUGGGUAUAUCUAAAGAAAUUUUGAAACAAUGUUUAUAUUUUUGUCUCCAAAAUUAAAUUAGGUAUUUUCUUCUUGUGGUUACUUUAAUCUUUUUAUAUUAUAUCAAGUUAUUUGUAAUAAUUGGUCAUUUUUUUUAUACAUGUUUGAUGAUAUUUUUAGCAAAUCAAUCCUAAUAUUUGAAUUAUAAUUAUAUAUAAGAUUCAUUCCCUCUUUAAUAGUGGAGGAAAUGACUCUUUAUUUUAAAGAUUAAAAAAAGAAUGAAACCUUAAAAAACACAAUAAUUCAUGAUAUAUGCUUUAAAAAUUAGGGAGAAAAGGAAGUUCGUGAAGAAAAAAAAAGUUUUUAUCUUUUGAGAUAAUGUCAAUAGAGUUGAUAUCUAAUGUUUUAUUUGUUUUGGAGUGUGCACAUUAAUCAUAAUUUUCUUUGCGAUUUUUAGGUUUUUCUUUACAAAGUGUGAUUGUUUUUGUUUUUGCUAAUUUAUAAUUUUUUUCUCAUUUAGCUUUCUUGCCAUUUACUUUAUUUUACAUUUAUGGUUUUUUUUUAUUAAUGUUUUCACUUUCUUUAUUCUUUACUCAUAUCUCACUUUCCAAAUUUAUUCACUUAAUUAUUUAUUUAUUUGCUUUUUUAAAUUUUACGUGUUUGUAGAUUUCUACGUAUACUUCAUUAUUUUUUAAUCCUUUAUCUAAAAAAGCAUUAGAAAAUUUAUUUUAAUUAUAUUAAAAUUGUUGGGAAAAACGGGUAAUUUUCCCACUAAAACAUAAUCCUAACAAAGCUACCCGACAAAUAAUAUUGAAUAAAUAAAGCGGAAUAAUAAAAGAGACAAAGAGGAAAAACACACCGAAAAUUGUUAACGGAGUUCGACCAAUUUAGCCUAAUCUCCGAGCAUAGCAAAAACAAUUCACUUUUAUUAUUAUGGGAGAAGAUAUUACAAAUUGGGAUAUAUAACAGUGAAGGAGAAGAGUUUAAUUUAUAACCCUCAAACCUCCUUCUCAAACAAUGAACCCACUGAUGUGGGACUUGGGAUUAAGCCAAAAUCAACAAAUCUCUCACCUAAAACAAAUCUUCUCAAAACAUAACAAAAACAAACUUUGCGGUGCUUCAAAUUUGCGCCUCCGGGCGCCAACUUCAAAUGUGCAAGAUAUUAACCAAGUUUAAACAGUGUUCAAACUUGGUUCUUGUAACUACCUUGUCUUGUAGCGAACAUCUUCUUUAUUAGGAAAUCCUUCUUUCUUUGCAAAUACCCAUUUGCACCCAAUUGCCUUCUUACCUUUCGGUAAUUGUGCCAGCUUUCACGUCUUGUUCUUCUUCAAAGACUGCAUCUCCUCUUCCAUCGCACUUGCCCAAUUACCACUCUCUGAACUCAUAAUGGCUUCUAGGUAAGUGGAUGGAAUGUCAUCAACAACUGGAAGUGCAUAGGCAACCAUAUCCAUGAAACGAGCAGGCUUCUGAAUAUCUCGUCUCUGUCUUCUAACUGCAAUUGGCACUGAUUGCUGUUGAGAUUCUUGGGUAGGAACCUCUUCCUCAUCUGACUCUUCUUCUACCAUAGGAGAGUCACUUGUGGUAUUUCGUGUUGGGAUCACCACUGUCGGCUCAAACUCCACCUGCUUCCGGGCAUACUCCACCUGUUGCGGAGUACUAUCAGCUCUUUCUAGAUUUACCUUCUUUAACAUGGCAGAUUCAUCAAAGGUAACAUCCCUGUUGAUAAUCGUCUUCUUUGCCUCUAGACACCACAAACGGUAUCCCUUCACUCCAGGACUAAAGCCCAUGAAAAGAGCUUUCUUUGCCCGUGGAUCCAACUUUGAUUCAAUCACAUGAUAAUAUGCAAUAGAACCAAAAACAUGCAAAGAAUCAUAAUCAGUUGCAGGUUUUCCAGACCAUACCUCUAACGAGGUUUUUCCAUCUAUAGCAGAUGAUGGCAAACGUUUGACGAGAUGUUGAGCGUAUGUCACAGCCUCAGCCCAAAACUCUCUGCCUAACUCAGCAUUAGACAACAUACAACGAACUUUCUCCACAAGUGUCUUGUUCAUACGCUCCGACACCCCAUUCUGAUGUGGUGUUUUUCUAACAGUGAAGUGUCGAACUAUGCCACAAUCUUGACAUACCUUCAGGAACAGAUCACUCUUGUAUUCUCCUCCAUUGUCUGUUCGGAGAACCUUAAUCUUCCUUCCUGUCUGGUUUUCAACUUGAGCUUUCCACUUAAGGAAAAUUUCAAGCACAUCAUUUUUGUUCUUCAUAGUAAACACCCAAACUCUCCUGGAAAAAUCAUCCACAAAAGUGACAAAAUAAUGCCUACCUCCGAUUGACGGAGUCUUGGCAGGUCCCCACACAUCUGAAUGCACAUAAUCCAGAAUACCCUUGGUAUUGAGAAUUGCAGUGCCAAACUUCACUCUUCGUUGUUUUCCCAGAACACAAUGCUCACAAAAUUCAAGUUUGCAAGCCUUCGUACCUUUCAACAAUCCCUGCUUGGUAAGAAUUUGCAAGGAUUUCUCUCCAGCAUGUCCCAACCUCAUAUGCCACAACUUCGUUGCCUCAACAUCCUNNNNNNNNNNNNNNNNNNNNNNNNNNNNNNNNNNNNNNNNNNNNNNNNNNNNNNNNNNNNNNNNNNNNNNNNNNNNNNNNNNNNNNNNNNNNNNNNNNNNNNNNNNAGUUGCUUUAAGAAUUUCAUCUCGCAUCGUCACAACUAGGUCUUUAGAUUCUAAAGCCCCCAAUGAGAUGAGAUUCUUCUUCAACUUUGGCAUGUACCGUACAUCCCGCAAAAUUCUGGUGGAUCCAUCAUGAUUCUGCAACUUGAUUGAACAUAUCCCAGUUGUCGUACAUGGAUUAUCAUUACCCAUGUAAACAACCCCGCCAUCAAGUUCUUGAAAUUCAAAGAACCAAUCCCGAAUGGGACACAUAUGAUAGGUACAACCUGAAUCCAAUAUCCACUCAUCUGGAUACGAUGAUG
rnacentral:lncRNA from 1 species